UGGGGAAUAUUGCACAAUGGAGGGAACUCUGAUGCAGCGACGCCGCGUGAACGAAGAAGGCUUUCGAGUCGUAAAGUUCUUUUAUAUGGGAAGAUAAUGACGGUACCAUAAGAAAAAGCCCCGGCUAACUACGUGCCAGCAGCCGCGGUAAUACGUAGGGGGCUAGCGUUGUCCGGAAUCAUUGGGCGUAAAGGGUUCGCAGGCGGAAAUGCAAGUCAGGUGUAAAAGGCAGUAGCUUAACUACUGUAAGCAUUUGAAACUGCAUAUCUUGAGAAGAGUAGAGGUAAGUGGAAUUUUUAGUGUAGCGGUGAAAUGCGUAGAUAUUAAAAAGAAUACCGGUGGCGAAGGCGACGUACUGGGCUCAUUCUGACGCUGAGGAACGAAAGCGUGGGUAGCAAACAGG
rnacentral:rRNA from 1 species